CUCUAUCGUUUAUCCUUCAAGGCUUCAACUUUUAUUAGUUUUUGAGUUUGGGUGUUUGAAGUUAGAAGGAAAAUCAAUGUUUGUUCAUGAGUUUAUGGAACGCAGCUAUGGUGCAAAUCCGUCGACGCACGACGGGGAUCGAAGCUUUCAAGAUCCAAAGCUCUAGUCCAGUUUCAUGGCAUUUAAGGGGGUCUUGGAAGACUAAGCCGAGAAGUAGGAAGAAGGGAGAAAGAGGAUUCCACUGGUGGUGUUGGUUGCUGGCCAAGACGUCGGACGGUGACAAUAAGAGCAAUGACAGCAAGGAGGCAAAAAGGAAAAGUUACUAAGUUUAGGUUAUUAAAAUUAAAUAAAUAAUUUAUGUUAUUAAAAUUUGGUAAUUCAUAGAUUAAGGUAUUUAGUGAGUAUUUCUAAUCUAAAUGCAGCCAAAAUUCUAAAAAGCUAGCUACAAUUUAAGAGGCACUUUGUGUAUUUUAGUGGAUAUAUAUAUAUAUGUUUUCUAAUUUUUU